CCUACGGGAGGCAGCAGUGGGGAAUAUUGGACAAUGGGGGGAACCCUGAUCCAGCCAUGCCGCGUGUGUGAAGAAGGCCCUCGGGUUGUAAAGCACUUUCAGUGAGGAAGAACGCCUGGUGGUUAAUACCCAUCAGGAAAGACAUCACUCACAGAAGAAGCACCGGCUAACUCCGUGCCAGCAGCCGCGGUAAUACGGAGGGUGCGAGCGUUAAUCGGAAUUACUGGGCGUAAAGCGCGCGCAGGUGGCUUGAUAAGCCGGUUGUGAAAGCCCCGGGCUCAACCUGGGAACGGCAUCCGGAACUGUCAAGCUAGAGUGCAGGAGAGGAAGGUAGAAUUCCCGGUGUAGCGGUGAAAUGCGUAGAGAUCGGGAGGAAUACCAGUGGCGAAGGCGGCCUUCUGGACUGACACUGACGCUGAGGUGCGAAAGCGUGGGUAGCAAACAGGAUUAGAUACCCGUGUAGUC
rnacentral:rRNA from 1 species